AUGCACACCUGCCUUUCUUGCACUGUGCUGAGAGUAUAUAAUUUCAUUCUGAUUAGCUUGUUGGUUGGUAACCUAUACUGCUACUUAGUUGCCAUUGCCUUGUCUGAUCUGAUACUUGUUAGUUGCCAAGCUGUAGUUCUAGAUUGCAGCCCUAAUAUGAUGUCGAUUAUAUCUAAAAUCAGUGUACACUAUGUUUCUGUAGUUAUGCUAAUUGGACCUGCUCAUUUUAUGUUAUUUGUUGGAUGUCAUAAUGUAUUUUUAUCUAUUCGGUUGUCAAAUGGUUCUGUAUCAGCAGAUCCCUCUGGGUUCUGCAGGUGUAUUGUUGAUACAUGUGAGUUUGGAUGA
rnacentral:rRNA from 1 species